rnacentral:rRNA from 1 species
GGGGCAUGUGAGGGCUGUCGCUGACUCAAAGUCGUGCACGCCCGAGUGUGUCCUCUCACAUAAUAAUCCAUCUCACCCUUUGUGCAUCGCCGCGUGGGCACCCUUUGGGAUCAUCUCGGAGGGGGCUCGCGUUUUCACACAAACCCCCCUUUUAAAAGUGUAGAAUGACCUCAUUUAUGCGCUAACACGCAAUCAAUACAACUUUCAACAACGGAUCUCUUGGCUCUCGCAUCGAUGAAGAACGCAGCGAAAUGCGAUACGUAAUGUGAAUUGCAGAAUUCAGUGAAUCAUCGAAUCUUUGAACGCACCUUGCGCCCCUUGGUAUUCCGAGGGGCACACCCGUUUGAGUGUCGUGAAAACCUCAACCUCCUUGGUUUCUUCUGGAGACCAAAGGCAGGCUUGGACUUUGGAGGCCUUUGCUGGAACCUCUCUCUUUUGAAGGCCAGCUCCUCUUAAACGAAUUAGCAGGGUCCUCUUUGCCGAUCCUCGACGUGUGAUAAGAUGUUUCCAUGUCUUGGUUUCUGGCUCUGUCACUUUUGGGACCCGCUUCUAACCGUCUUGACCUUGCAUCGAGACAAUGUUCGAGCAUGUCUCCCUUCUCGGGAAGCUCCCUCGACCCCACGAACCCUUGACCUCAAAUCGGGUGAGACUACCCGCUGAACUUAAGCAUAUCAAUAAGCGGAGGAAAAGAAACUAACAAGGAUUCCCCUAGUAACUGCGAGUGAAGCGGGAAAAGCUCAAAUUUAAAAUCUGGCGGUCUUUGGCCGUCCGAGUUGUAAUUUAGAGAAGCGUCUUCCGCGCUGGACCGUGUACAAAGUC